AUUGAACGCUGGCGGCAGGCCUAACACAUGCAAGUCGAGCGGAUGAGUGGAGCUUGCUCCAUGAUUCAGCGGCGGACGGGUGAGUAAUGCCUAGGAAUCUGCCUGGUAGUGGGGGACAACGUUUCGAAAGGAACGCUAAUACCGCAUACGUCCUACGGGAGAAAGCAGGGGACCUUCGGGCCUUGCGCUAUCAGAUGAGCCUAGGUCGGAUUAGCUAGUAGGGGGGGUAAUGGCUCACCUAGGCGACGAUCCGUAACUGGUCUGAGAGGAUGAUCAGUCACACUGGAACUGAGACACGGUCCAGACUCCUACGGGAGGCAGCAGUGGGGAAUAUUGGACAAUGGGCGAAAGCCUGAUCCAGCCAUGCCGCGUGUGUGAAGAAGGUCUUCGGAUUGUAAAGCACUUUAAGUUGGGAGGAAGGGCAGUAAGUUAAUACCUUGCUGUUUUGACGUUACCAACAGAAUAAGCACCGGCUAACUUCGUGCCAGCAGCCGCCGUAAGAC
rnacentral:rRNA from 1 species